CACUCUCUCAGUCGCAUUCAUUGCCCCUCCGGCCAAGCCCGAAGGCUGGGUUGCCUGGGCUCUGAACCCAACUGGCAAGGGCAUGGCUGGGUCACAAGCACUCGUUGCAUUCAAGGACUCCAAUGGAUCUAUGGUUGUCAAAACCUACAAUAUCUCGUCGUACAGCUCUAUAGUCGAGUCGAAGCUAUUUUACGACGUGUUGGACAAGAAGGCGGAAUUUUCCGGCGGGGCGAUGAGGAUAUUC
rnacentral:lncRNA from 1 species